rnacentral:misc_RNA from 1 species
GAAAGUUAAUCUUGAGAAUUGGAACAUCUUGCAUUUUGAAUGGUCAUUUUCUGCAUUUUUUUUUGUAAGUACAACGUUUUCUCGUGAGUGAUGAGGAAUAUACUACCUAAUUUAGAUUUCAUACACAAAAACUUCAGUAACUAGUGGUGGCAAUGUUCUUGAUAAUUUUUUCUUAUUCAUUCCCUUUCAAAAAUUAAUACAAGAUUUAAAGUUCUUUCCUUCCUUUUACGUGUAGAUAGUUAUAUGAUUUAUUACAAGUCCGUUUAUUAACUAUUUACUUCGAUCUACUUCAGUCAAUGGAUGUUGGGAUUGUUGU